AGAGCAGACCAAGGUGGUUGCCUCGGUGUUUCACACCGGGGAGGAAAGUCCGAGCUCCGCAGGAUAAUGUAUCCCGGUAAUGCGGGACGUUAUUCAGCGGGUAGCGGGUAGAACCGCUAAACGCUGAGUAAAGGGAUUUCCGCCAUCCGCCAAAAUUUGUGGCGGAGCGGACCCGCUAAGUUGUUUGGCGGGAGAGCUACAGUGACGAUGCUUUACAGCUUAUCGCUGUAAGGAGUGAAACGAGCAAUCUCUACAUGGAGCAAGGCCAAAUAGGGAAAGACCUCCGUCGCUUUGCUUCGCAAAGCGAAGCAGCGGAGGGCGAGGUCAUCCGCCUCGCCACUAUUUCCGGGUAGGCCGCAAGAGUCAGGAGAGCAAUCUCUUGAGUGAGUGGGAUAACCGCCCAUCAUGCCUAAAACAUCAUGGGGUACAUAACUCGGCUUAUUGGUCUGCUCGUAAA
rnacentral:RNase_P_RNA from 2 species